rnacentral:rRNA from 1 species
GAUGAACGCUGGCGGCGUGCUUAACACAUGCAAGUCGAACGGUGAAAGCGGAGCUUGCUCUGCUGGAUCAGUGGCGAACGGGUGAGUAACACGUGAGCAAUCUGCCCCUGACUCUGGGAUAAGCGCUGGAAACGGCGUCUAAUACCGGAUACGAGCUGCGAAGGCAUCUUCAGCAGCUGGAAAGAACUUCGGUCAGGGAUGAGCUCGCGGCCUAUCAGCUAGUUGGUGAGGUAACGGCUCACCAAGGCGUCGACGGGUAGCCGGCCUGAGAGGGUGACCGGCCACACUGGGGCUGAGACACAGCCCAGACUCCGACGGGAGGCUGCAGUGGGGAAUAUUGCACAAUGGGCGAAAGCCUGAUGCAGCUACGCCGCGUGAGGGACGUCGUCCUUCGGGUUGUAAACCUCUUUUAGCAGGGAAGAAGCGAAAGUGACGGUACCUGCAGAAAAAGCGCCGGCUAACUACGUGCCAGCAGCCGCCGUAC